rnacentral:rRNA from 1 species
CACGUAGGGCGCGAGCGUUGUCCGGAAUUAUUGGGCGUAAAGAGCUCGUAGGCGGCCUGUUGCGUCCGCUGUGAAAGCCCGGGGCUUAACCCCGGGUCGGCAGUGGAUACGGGCAGGCUAGAGGUAGGUAGGGGAGAAUGGAAUUCCCGGUGUAGCGGUGAAAUGCGCAGAUAUCGGGAGGAACACCGGUGGCGAAGGCGGCGUUCUGGACUGCAACUGACACUGAGGAACGAAAGCCAGGGGAGCAAACGGG